AGAGUUUGAUUCUGGCUCAGGAUGAACGCUGGCGGCGUGCCUAACACAUGCAAGUCGAACGAAGCAUGCCGGAGGAAGUUUUCGGAUGGAAUCCGGGAUGACUGAGUGGCGGACGGGUGAGUAACGCGUGGGUAACCUGCCCUGUACAGGGGGACAACAGUUAGAAAUGACUGCUAAUACCGCAUAAGCGCACAGGACCGCAUGGUCCGGUGUGAAAAACUCCGGUGGUACAGGAUGGACCCGCGUCUGAUUAGGUAGUUGGCGGGGUAACGGCCCACCAAGCCGACGAUCAGUAGCCGACCUGAGAGGGUGACCGGCCACAUUGGGACUGAGACACGGCCCAAACUCCUACGGGAGGCAGCAGUGGGGAAUAUUGCACAAUGGGGGGAACCCUGAUGCAGCGACGCCGCGUGAGUGAAGAAGUAUUUCGGUAUGUAAAGCUCUAUCAGCAGGGAAGAAAAUGACGGUACCUGACUAAGAAGCCCCGGCUAACUACGUGCCAGCAGCCGCGGUAAUACGUAAGGGGCAAGCGUUAUCCGGAUUUACUGGGUGUAAAGGGAGCGUA
rnacentral:rRNA from 1 species